rnacentral:rRNA from 1 species
AGGGUCGAGUAACUGGGCGCUGUGUCCUCUGUGGCCAGCGUUUUUUUCCAGUUACUGGCUCUUUUAUUUUGGCUAGGUGCAGCUUGCUGCUUGUUUCGGCAAGUGGCAAGUUGUAUUCCACCUAGCACUUUUACUUUGAAAAAAUUAGAGUGUUCAAAGCAGGCUUCUUACAGCUUGAAUAUCUUAGCAUGGAAUAAUGGAAUAGGACUCUGGUUCUAUUUUGUUGGUUUCUAGGACUAGAGUA